rnacentral:lncRNA from 1 species
CACGAAGCUCGGUGAAGCCGCCCAGACAGGUCCGGCUCAUGAAACUCUACCCCCAGCCCACCAAUUCUCUUCCCCAGGGCUCCGAAGAUUUCUUCUGUAGUGGACCAAGAAGUCAUGUCCUGAAGCUCUGUGAGCCGGGCAACCAUCACGACGCGAAUGCAACCCAAGGCCAGCGAUAAGCUCAACCCACUGCAGGAGUCUGCAAAUGAAUAAAAAUCAGACGUGGUGGGAGAAUCCUGUAAGGGUGGCACUCAAGAGAUGGAGGCUGCCAGGCCUUUAGGUGGAUCUCGGGUCUAACAUACUCGUAUUGGAUUGAACUCAUCAUGAGGCUGAGACUGAUGUCACUGUGACUGGUCAUCAUGCCUGGUUUUCUAUUCUUGUUUCUUUCAGUCCUUUGAAGUUUUGUUUCUGGACUUCAUUCGCAGGCCAGAUCUAGCCAUAGAACCCUCAGCUACUUCUCCAGUGCCACGCCUGCCUGCAUGCCGUCAUGCUUCCCGUCAUGAUGACAAUGGACUAAACCUCUGAACUGUAAACCAGCUGUUGUGGGUCACUUUUGCUACCCCGCCUAAGCUCCGGGAAUGGGCUGUGCUACCAGCCCCCACCCAGAUUCCCUCAAAUCCACAGAUUA